rnacentral:rRNA from 1 species
AGCAUAUCAAUAAGCGGAGGAAAAGAAACUAACAAGGAUUCCCCUAGUAACUGCGAGUGAAGCGGGAAAAGCUCAAAUUUAAAAUCUGGUGGCCUUUGUCCAUCCGAGUUGUAAUUUAGAGAAGCGUCUUCCGCGCUGGACCGUGCACAAGUCUCCUGGAACGGAGCGUCAUAGAGGGUGAGAAUCCCGUCUUUGGCACGGACACACCAGGGCUUUUGUGAUGCGCUCUCAAAGAGUCGAGUUGUUUGGGAAUGCAGCUCAAAAUGGGUGGUGAACUCCAUCUAAAGCUAAAUAUUGGCGAGAGACCGAUAGCGAACAAGUACCGUGAGGGAAAGAUGAAAAGCACUUUGGAAAGAGAGUGAAACAGUACGUGAAAUUGUUGAAAGGGAAACGCUUGAAGUCAGUCGCGUCGCCCGAGACUCAGCCUUGCCUCGGCUUGGUGUACUUCUCGGCUGACGGGUCAGCAUCAAUUUUGCCCCUUGGAUAAUGGCGAGGGAAAUGUGACACCUUUACGGGUGUGUUAUAGUCUCUCGUCGCAUGCAAGGGUCGGGAUUGAGGAACUCAGCACGCGCCCUCGGGCGUCGGGGCAUCUGCCCACGAUACGUGCUUAGGAUGUUGGCGUAAUGGCUUUAAACGACCCGUCUUGAAACACGGACCAAGGAGUCUAACAUGCCCGCGAGUGUUCGGGUGGAAAACCCGUGCGCGCAAUGAAAGUGAAAGUUGGGACCUCUGUCGUGGAGGGCACCGACGCCCGGACCAGACCUUCUGUGACGGAUCUGCGGUAGAGCGUGUAUGUUAGGACCCGAAAGAUGGUGAACUAUGCCUGAAUAGGGUGAAGCCAGAGGAAACUCUGGUGGAGGCUCGUAGCGAUUCUGACGUGCAAAUCGAUCGUCAAAUUUGGGUAUAGGGGCGAAAGACUAAUCGAACCAUCUAGUAGCUGGUCUGC